GCAAGUCUAAGUACAUGCCGKAUUAAGGUGAAACCGCGAAUGGCUCAUUAAAUCAGUUAUGGUUCCUUAGAUCGUACGUUUUUACUUGGAUAACUGUGGCAAUUCUAGAGCUAAUACAUGCAGCAGAGCUCCGACCUUCGGGGACGAGCGCUUUUAUUAGACCAAGACCAAUCGGACUUUGUCCGCACUCCACGGCGACUCUGGAUAACUUUGGGCUGAUCGCACGAUCUCGCAUCGGCGAUAUUUCUUUCAAGUGUCUGCCUUAUCAACUGUCGAUGGUAGGUUAUGCGCCUACCAUGGUCGUAACGGGUAACGGGGAAUCAGGGUUCGAUUCCGGAGAGGGAGCCUGAGAAACGGCUACCACAUCCAAGGAAGGCAGCAGGCGCGCAAAUUACCCACUCCCGGCACGGGGAGGUAGUGACGAAAAAUAACAAUACGGGACUCUCUUGAGGCCCCGUAAUUGGAAUGAGUACACUCURAAUCCUUUAACGAGGAUCUAUUGGAGGGCAAGUCUGGUGCCAGCAGCCGCGGUAAUUCCAGCUCCAAUAGCGUAUAUUAAAGUUGUUGCGGUUAAAAAGCUCGUAGUUGGAUCUCAGUUACAGACGGGCGGUCCACCUCUGGUGGCUACUGCUCGUUCUGAACGUCCUGCCGGUUUUCUCUAGGUGCUCUUCAUUGAGUGUCUAGAGUGGCCGGCACGUUUACUUUGAAAAAAUUAGAGUGCUCAAAGCAGGCGUUACGCCUGAAUAAUGGUGCAUGGAAUAAUGGAAUAGGACCUCGGUUCUAUUGUGUUGGUUUUCGGAACACGAGGUAAUGAUUAAGAGGGACAGACGGGGGCAUUCGUAUUGCGACGCUAGA
rnacentral:rRNA from 1 species